rnacentral:rRNA from 1 species
CAGUCGCCGCGGUAAUACAGAGGGUGCAAGCGUUAAUCGGAUUUACUGGGCGUAAAGGGCGCGUAGGUGGUUAUUUAAGUGAGAUGUGAAAGCCCCGGGCUUAACCUGGGAACUGCAUCUUAUACUGGGUAACUGGAGUGCAGUAGAGGGUAGUGGAAUUUCCGGUGUAGCGGUGAGAUGCGUAGAUAUCGGAAGGAACACCAGUGGCGAAGGCGGCUACCUGGACUGAGACUGACACUGAGGCGCGAGAGCGUGGGGAGCAAACAGGAUUAGAUACCCGCGUAGUCCCUGUCUCUUAUAC